AGAAAACAUCACUUACUUUAAUACUUUUACUCAAGUGAUGUUCUAAAAGGUGACUUUAACUUCUACCAAAGUCAUUUUCUGGUAAGAUACUUGUACUUUUACUCAAGUAUUGCUUUCAAGUACUUUAUGCA